rnacentral:rRNA from 1 species
GACGAACCGUGCAAACGUUGUUCGGAUUCACUGGGCUUAAAGGGCGCGUAGGCGGGUGGUCAAGUCGGGGGUGAAAUCUUUCAGCUUAACUGGAAAAUAGCUUCCGAUACUGGCCGUCUUGAGGGAGGUAGGGGCAUGUGGAACUUCCGGUGGAGCGGUGAAAUGCGUUGAUAUCCUAAGGAACACCGGUGGCGAAAGCGGCUCACUGGAUCUCUUCUGACGCUGAGGCACGAAAGCUAGGGUAGCGAACGGG